UACGGUUACAUCAGAUUAAAACACUUGUUCACGCACGAUCAAGGAAGUUAAGCAACGUCAAGCCUGGUUAGUACUUAAGUGGGUGGCCGCUUGGGAAUACGAAGUGCGGUAA